rfam:Aneurinibacillus migulanus strain DSM 2895 super7, whole genome shotgun sequence.
UUCUUAUCCAGAGAAGGCGGAGGGAUUAGGCCCGAUGAAGCCCGGCAACCUGCUUGCAUAUGCGCAGCAAGGUGCUACUUCCUACAGACACGGUUCUGAAAGAUAAGGU